rnacentral:rRNA from 1 species
UACAGAGGGGGCAAGCGUUGUUCGGAAUAACUGGGCGUAAAGGGCGCGUAGGCGGCCUUCUAAGUCGAACGUGAAAUCCCCGGGCUCAACCCGGGAACUGCGUCCGAUACUGGAAGGCUUGAAUCCGGGAGAGGGAUGUGGAAUUCCAGGUGUAGCGGUGAAAUGCGUAGAUAUCUGGAGGAACACCGGUGGCGAAGGCGACAUCCUGGACCGGUAUUGACGCUGAGGCGCGAAAGCCAGGGGAGCAAACGGG